UACGUAGGGGGCAAGCGUUGUCCGGAUUUAUUGGGCGUAAAGAGCGUGUAGGCGGCUUUGCAAGUCCGUUGUGAAAACUCGAGGCUCAACCUCGAGACGCCGGUGGAAACUGCAAAGCUAGAGUCCGGAAGAGGGGAGUGGAAUUCCUGAUGUAGCGGUGAAAUGCGCAGAUAUCAGGAAGAACACCCGUGGCGAAGGCGGCUCUCUGGGACGGUACUGACGCUGAGACGCUAAAGCGUGGGGAGCGAACAGG
rnacentral:rRNA from 1 species